rnacentral:lncRNA from 1 species
AAGAGGACUGGGGGAGUUUGUUGCCACCUUUUGCCAUGUGAGAACGCACACUGAAGGCAGCAUCUUUACAAAAUGACCCCUCACUAAACACUGAAUCUACUGGAGACUUGAUCUUGGAAUUUCCAGAUUUGUGAAUUUGCAUUUCACAAUCCAAAAACAGUAAUGCCCUUUGAAGAAAUACAACUCCCAGUAACAGCACAGAGUCUGCUAGACUGUCCUGUCAACGUCAGUGGGGUUGCCUAGAUUGAUUAUGGCCUGUUCCUUUGACAAGCACCUAAGGCCCCUGGAUUUCUCCAGGCACUCAUUAGUGUGACUGCUAAUCCCUCUCAAAGGCCCUGAAGAUACUUCUUUAGAGAUCGAAAGUAAUUUUCUGGUAUUCCAUCUAAUCUAUAUUCUAAG